rnacentral:rRNA from 1 species
UACGAGGGGGGCGAGCGUUGUUCGGAAUUAUUGGGCGUAAAGGGUGCGUAGGCGGUUUGGUAAGUCUUGUGUGAAAUCUCCAGGCUCAACUCGGAGUCUGCACGAGAAACUGCCGGGCUUGAGUGUGGGAGAGGUGAGUGGAAUUCCUGGUGUAGCGGUGAAAUGCGUAGAUAUCAGGAGGAACACCUGUGGCGAAAGCGGCUCACUGGACCACAACUGACGCUGAUGCACGAAAGCUAGGGGAGCAAACAGG